GGAAUUUGCAACCUUUGUUUCCCCCUCCCCCAACCUCCCCAGCUGCAGGCAGAUGUGAUUUGGAACUCUCUCUCCCCCUGUUUCUUACUUUCCCUCCUCUCUCCUCUACUGAGAGGGAUUUCUUUUUCUACUUCUCUCCCUCGAUUCCAAGACUCCAGAAGUCUUUUCUACCGUGGGAGGAGCCAAGCCAAGAUGUUCAAGUUUGAUUCCUGUUCAGUAGAAGCCUUGGAAAUCCAGGGAAGCACCUUCAAGCAGAACAGCUGUUGGUUGUCCUUCCGGAUGGAGCAGCCGGCCCCUGCUGAGGACAUCGUGUUCCUCAUGAUGAAGUAUCUUGGCAGGAGAAGGAGAUAGAAGAGACACCUAUGGUGGCAUUUCCUUGUUCCCUGCUGCCCAAGGGCCCAGUCAGCCUGCCUGAUCUUGGAGCUCCAGCCUCACAAUCUAUUCCCUUAUUUCCGACCUGAUUUCUGCCGACUGAAAUCCUCCCCUUCUUCCAAUGUCUCCCCUUCGAAGCCCUGCCUUCACCUGAGGUUAGACACUCAUCACCUGUCACCCACAAUAUUGUGCUAUCCUAGCCCUCUGUACUUGUCUUAAUGUUUUUAUGCUAUUUUGCACUAUAAUUCUGGAUAUUCAUCAUCAUAGUGUCAACUUGUAUAUUUCGUAUUUCCCAUAUAGGAUUGUAGGCUCUAUGAGAAUAAUAAAUCUCCUUAAUCACCCAAUUUAAUAAGUACUUAGUAAAUGGUCAAUGAACGAAUGGAAAAAAAAUACUGUGCUAUCCUCUUAAGUGAUCUCCCUCCUUUGGCCCCUCCUCCAAUCCAUUCUCCAUACAGAUGCCAAUGGAAAUUCUGAAGCACAGAUCUGAAGCACAGUCAUUCCCCUGCUCAGGAACUUCCAGUGGCUCCCUAUUAC